rnacentral:rRNA from 1 species
UACGUAGGGUGCAAGCGUUAAUCGGAAUUACUGGGCGUAAAGGGCGCGUAGGCGGAUAGUUUAGUCAGAGGUGAAAGCCCAGGGCUCAACCCUGGAAUUGCCUUUGAUACUGGCUAUCUUGAGUUCGGGAGAGGUGAGUGGAACUCCGAGUGUAGAGGUGAAAUUCGUAGAUAUUCGGAAGAACACCAGUGGCGAAAGCGGCUUCCUGGUCCAGCACCGACGUUCAGGCACGAAAGCGUGGGGAGCAAACAGG